rnacentral:rRNA from 1 species
GACGAACGCUGGCGGCGUGCUUAACACAUGCAAGUCGAGCGGUAAGGCCCUUCGGGGUACACGAGCGGCGAACGGGUGAGUAACACGUGGGUGACCUGCCCUCCACUUCGGGAUAAGCCUGGGAAACCGGGUCUAAUACCGGAUAGGACCUCUGGGUGCAUGCCUGGGGGUGGAAAGUUUUUCGGUGGGGGAUGGGCCCGCGGUCUAUCAGCUUGUUGGUGGGGUGAUGGCCUACCAAGGCGACGACGGAUAGCCGGCCUGAGAGGGUGAUCGGCCACACUGGGACUGAGACACGGCCCAGACUCCUACGGGAGGCAGCAGUGGGGAAUCUUGCGCAAUGGGCGAAAGCCUGACGCAGCAACGCCGCGUGGGGGAUGACGGCCUUCGGGUUGUAAACCUCUUUCGCGAUCGACGAAGGUCGUACUUCUGGUACGGCUGACGGUAGGUCGAGAAGAAGCACCGGCCAACUACGUGCCAGCCGCCGCGAGUAAAC